rnacentral:rRNA from 1 species
AUACGGAGGAUCCAAGCGUUAUCCGGAUUUAUUGGGUUUAAAGGGUGCGCAGGCGGAAGAUUAAGUUGGCGGUGAAAUUUUGCAGCUCAACUGUAAAAGUGCCAUCGAUACUGGUUUUCUUGAGUGUGGAUGAAGUAGGCGGAAUUUGUGGUGUAGCGGUGAAAUGCAUAGAUAUCACGAGGAACUCCGAUUGCGCAGGCAGCUUACUAGGCCAUAACUGACGCUCAGGCACGAAGGCGUGGGGAUCAAACAGGAUUAGAUACCCUGGUAGUCCACGCAGUAAACGAUGAUUACUCGCUGUUUGCGAUACACAGUAAGCGGCUUAGCGAAAGCGUUAAGUAAUCCACCUGGGGAGUACGUUCGCAAGAAUGAAACUCAAAUGAAUUGACGGGG